rnacentral:lncRNA from 1 species
AUGAACUCAACCCUCUUCAGCUAUAAAUAAGCAGUCAAUCUCAUUCAUUUGGCAACCUUGUGGAGACCUGAAAUGCUGCAGCACUAAAAUCCCAACCAUUACCAAAGGAAUAUUCAUAUUUUUCUCUCUUUUUCAAGCUUGAAAUUCAAAAUCAUUAGUUGAUUUUCAAAGCUCAAUUCUUUAGCCUCUCAGCUCUAUUACAUCUC